rnacentral:lncRNA from 1 species
AUUUUUCAAUUCUUGACAUGAAACUGAGUGACAACCCUAGACAAAUUCUCAUCAUCUUAGGCCGACCCUUCCUAACUACGGCAAAUGCAUGCAUCAACUAUAAGACAGGAGUCAUGGACGUAUCAUUUGGGAAUAAAAAAUUGAGAUCGAAUGUGUUCGGUGCUUUUCAAGAAUCAUCGAUGGAUAGUUGCUUCGAAAUAGAUACACUUGAAGAUAUAAUAAAGGAAGCUACUCAUACAAUUCUUUCGAAGGACCCCCU